GAGAUCUGCAGUUUCAGUCGUCAGGAAUCCUCGCCGGAGGUUUCGAAUGGUUGCUGAUCUUGCCAAAAGAGCUGAAGCUGAAAGGAAACGUAAAAAUCUCCAGGUCAGAAAACUUUAUAGUGCCCCGCUGUUCAAGUUUUUGUGAUCUUAAUUCUUCGUGUUUUUCUUUUUCCUUUUUAAAUAUUAUUUUAUGAGUUUGAUUUUUUUUUUGAAGACGUUAAUGUUACUAUCAUAAAUUAAGUUGUUGUUAACAAAAUGACGGUUGAGUGUUGACUUGUAGCACAUUUUUAUUGACAUUAACCUAAUUCACACAAAUUAAUUAUUCAACAUUAAUUAAUUAUUUAUAGUACGUGUUUUUACCACUCUUAUUAUUAAAUUCUUGGGUUUAAACCCUCGGCCUUCAUCUUAAUAGGGUUUAUUCCCUAUUAAGAGCUAGACAUAUAAGAAGAUUUCGCAAAUCUUUUAGGGUUCAAGUCUUUUUAAUUAACAUUCGAAUGAAAAGAAAUUGAGUCUGAUUGAUGCAUGACAAAAUGUUCCUAUAUGUUACUGUAAAUAGUGAAUAAAUUUUAUAGAAGAAGAUGAAUAUCGUGCUAGUUUUAUUAUAAACCUUGAGGUAUAUCAACUCGCAAACAAUCCAAAAAACAAUUUCUGUAAAAUCAGCAUCAUUGAAAGCAAGAAUAUUAUUCAACACACACAGAGAUGUGUCCCUUGCUUACCUCGAGAUCAUUUCUGAAAAAGUCAUGGAAGUUUUGGGUUCGAGCUUUUUGUUGGUUGACUAGUAUAUGUUCACUAAGAAAAAGUGACCCUUCGCCGAUAUUUCUUUUCCUUUAAUGGCACGGUGCUUACAAGAGGGAAUGCCUUUGUUGACAUAUUCAUGCAUUGAAAGCUUUGAUUUCUUAUCACGGACUGGUAGUUGUUAUAUAGUCGUCAAUUAGCAUUAACGAACCCUAGGGGACGCUAUGACUGUUAUCGCCGGAAAGUCCGCGUUCAAACCUUUUAACGGUGGGGUGGGGGUUUGGAAAUUUGGACGAACAUUUCUCAAUCUAUUCAUUUGAUCAGAUAUGACUUCAGCAUUCUUGUUAGGGAUGUGUAACAAUUACACCCCGGAACUAUGAUAUAAACAGAAACGGUAAGAAAUUGUUCAUAUGAACAACCGAUUCAAAAUAGCCAUGAAUUUUGAUCUGAUUACUGGGUUGGUUUGAAUUUUACUAGUGUACAAAAUUGAACUUGAGCUGAGCCUUUACAGAUGUUACAAAUUUAUUCGCUGCUCAGAUUCACCAAAUUGCACUCCCAAUGCUAUCAAAUUUGCCUUGGAAAUUUCAAACUAGUUUUUAGACUUUUUCUUUAAUUUCAGAUUUGAAUUUUAUUAUUUUUCCUAAUUGGUUGUUUCCUAGUUAUUUACGAAUGUCUCUUUUCAUAUUUGAUGAGACUUUUGCCGAAUAAAACUGUAGACUUGUACAACUUUGAUUGUAUUUUUAUCUAGUCUUAGAGUUGAUCAGACAUGUGUCAAACACAACUUCAUAGCUUUCUCCGCGUCAAUCACUGUAAAAGUCAUAUGGAUCUUAGGGAACCUCCCUCUCAUGACACCAACAUUUCUGGAGUUAACUGCUUGCUAAAGUUUCAGAGCUUAAUUUGAAUAUGUAUCCUUUUCACAGGUUAAUUAGCUACUAACCUGUUCUAAGAAGAUGAGAUGAGAACGAGGGUAUUCUUUAAUUUCCUCUAUUAAUUAGUAUAAUCUGUUUUAAAUAGCUGAUACAGAAGGCAGGUAAAUAUUCUUUUAAG
rnacentral:lncRNA from 1 species